UGAGGAAUUUUGCGCAAUGGGGGAAACCCUGACGCAGCAACGCCGCGUGAGUGAAGAAGGCCUUUGGGUCGUAAAGCUCUGUCAAUUGGGAAGAAGUUACAACAUAUUAAUAGUGUGUUGUAUUGACGGUACCAAUGGAGGAAGCGCCGGCUAACUCCGUGCCAGCAGCCGCGGUAACACGGGGGGCGCAAGCGUUAUUCGGAAUUAUUGGGCGUAAAGGGCGCGUAGGCGGUCUUAUCGGUCAGAUGUGAAAGCCCAGGGCUCAACCCUGGACGUGCAUUUGAAACAGUAAGACUUGAGUACGGGAGAGGAAAGCGGAAUUCCUGGUGUAGAGGUGAAAUUCGUAGAUAUCAGGAGGAACACCGAUGGCGAAGGCAGCUUUCUGGACCGAUACUGACGCUGAGGCGCGAAGGCGUGGGUAGCGAACA
rnacentral:rRNA from 1 species